rnacentral:lncRNA from 1 species
AACUGGUUCUUUCUGGAUCUCCCAGGCCUCUCCCACUCCACCCUGAUACCCCUGCCUCUCAUCCUUCCCAUCAGAGAGAGAGAGAGAGAGAGAGAGAGAGAGAGAGAGAGAGAGAGAGAGAGAGAGAGAGAGAGAGAGAAAAGAAGAAGAAGAAGAAGAAGAAGAAGAAGAAGAAGAAGAAGAAGAAGAAGAAGAAGAGAGAGGGAGAGGGAGGGAGGGAGGGAGAGACAGAGAGAAGAGAGAGACAGAAAGAGCAGAGACAGAGACACACACAGAGACAGAGAGACAGAGACACACAGAGACAGAGAGAGGAAGAGAUGGAGAGAGAGAGAGAGAAGAGAGACAGAAAGAGAGAGAGAGGAGAAAGACAGAGAAGAGACAGAGACAUACACAGAGAGACAGAGACACACACAGAGACAGAGAGAGACAGAGACACACAGAGACAGAGAGAGAGAGAGAGAGAGAGGAAGAGAUGGAGAGAGAGAGAGAGAAAGAGAGAGAGAGGAGACAGAAAGAGAGAAGAAGAAGAGAGAGGGAGACGGAGGGAGGGAGAGACAGAGAGAGGAGAGAGACAGAAAGAGCAGAGACAGAGACACACACAGAGAGAAAGAGAGACAGAGACACACAGAGACAGAGACAGAGAGAGGAAGAGAUGGAGAGAGAGAGAGAGAGAAGAGAGACAGAAAGAGAGAGAGAGGAGAAAGACAGAGAGAAGAGACAGAGACAUACACAGAGAGACAGAGACACACACAGAGACAGAGAGAGACAGAGACACACAGAGACAGAGAGAGAGAGAGGAAGAGAUGGAGAGAGAGAGAGAAAGAGAGAGAAAGGAGACAGAAAGAGAGAAGAAGAAGAGAGAGGGAGAGGGAGGGAGGGAGAGACAGAGAGAGGAGAGAGACAGAAAGAGCAGAGACAGAGACACACAGAGACAGAGAGAGAGAGAGGAAGAGAUGGAGAGAGAGAGAGAAAGAGAGAGAAAGGAGACAGAAAGAGAGAAGAAGAAGAGAGAGGGAGAGGGAGGGAGGGAGAGACAGAGAGAGGAGAGAGACAGAAAGAGCAGAGACAGAGACACACAGAGACAGAGACAGAGAGAGGAAGAGAUGGAGAGAGAGAGAGAGAAGAGAGACAGAAAGAGAGAGGAGAAAGACAGAGAGAAGAGACAGAGACACA